GGGUUGUGAGGUUAAGCGACUAAGCGUACACGGUGGAUGCCCUGGCAGUCAGAGGCGAUGAAGGACGUGCUAAUCUGCGAUAAGCGUCGGUAAGGUGAUAUGAACCGUUAUAACCGGCGAUUUCCGAAUGGGGAAACCCAGUGUGAUUCGUCACACUAUCAUUAACUGAAUCCAUAGGUUAAUGAGGCGAACCGGGGGAACUGAAACAUCUAAGUACCCCGAGGAAAAGAAAUCAACCGAGAUUCCCCCAGUAGCGGCGAGCGAACGGGGAGGAGCCCAGAGCCUGAAUCAGUGUGUGUGUUAGUGGAAGCGUCUGGAAAGGCGCGCGAUACAGGGUGACAGCCCCGUACACAAAAAUGCACAUGCUGUGAGCUCGAUGAGUAGGGCGGGACACGUGGUAUCCUGUCUGAAUAUGGGGGGACCAUCCUCCAAGGCUAAAUACUCCUGACUGACCGAUAGUGAACCAGUACCGUGAGGGAAAGGCGAAAAGAACCCCGGCGAGGGGAGUGAAAAAGAACCUGAAACCGUGUACGUACAAGCAGUGGGAGCACGCUUAGGCGUGUGACUGCGUACCUUUUGUAUAAUGGGUCAGCGACUUAUAUUCUGUAGCAAGGUUAACCGAAUAGGGGAGCCGAAGGGAAACCGAGUCUUAACUGGGCGUUAAGUUGCAGGGUAUAGACCCGAAACCCGGUGAUCUAGCCAUGGGCAGGUUGAAGGUUGGGUAACACUAACUGGAGGACCGAACCGACUAAUGUUGAAAAAUUAGCGGAUGACUUGUGGCUGGGGGUGAAAGGCCAAUCAAACCGGGAGAUAGCUGGUUCUCCCCGAAAGCUAUUUAGGUAGCGCCUCGUGAAUUCAUCUCCGGGGGUAGAGCACUGUUUCGGCAAGGGGGUCAUCCCGACUUACCAACCCGAUGCAAACUGCGAAUACCGGAGAAUGUUAUCACGGGAGACACACGGCGGGUGCUAACGUCCGUCGUGAAGAGGGAAACAACCCAGACCGCCAGCUAAGGUCCCAAAGUCAUGGUUAAGUGGGAAACGAUGUGGGAAGGCCCAGACAGCCAGGAUGUUGGCUUAGAAGCAGCCAUCAUUUAAAGAAAGCGUAAUAGCUCACUGGUCGAGUCGGCCUGCGCGGAAGAUGUAACGGGGCUAAACCAUGCACCGAAGCUGCGGCAGCGACGCUUAUGCGUUGUUGGGUAGGGGAGCGUUCUGUAAGCCUGUGAAGGUGUACUGUGAGGUAUGCUGGAGGUAUCAGAAGUGCGAAUGCUGACAUAAGUAACGAUAAAGCGGGUGAAAAGCCCGCUCGCCGGAAGACCAAGGGUUCCUGUCCAACGUUAAUCGGGGCAGGGUGAGUCGACCCCUAAGGCGAGGCCGAAAGGCGUAGUCGAUGGGAAACAGGUUAAUAUUCCUGUACUUGGUGUUACUGCGAAGGGGGGACGGAGAAGGCUAUGUUGGCCGGGCGACGGUUGUCCCGGUUUAAGCGUGUAGGCUGGUUUUCCAGGCAAAUCCGGAAAAUCAAGGCUGAGGCGUGAUGACGAGGCACUACGGUGCUGAAGCAACAAAUGCCCUGCUUCCAGGAAAAGCCUCUAAGCAUCAGGUAACAUCAAAUCGUACCCCAAACCGACACAGGUGGUCAGGUAGAGAAUACCAAGGCGCUUGAGAGAACUCGGGUGAAGGAACUAGGCAAAAUGGUGCCGUAACUUCGGGAGAAGGCACGCUGAUAUGUAGGUGAAGUGAUUUACUCAUGGAGCUGAAAUCAGUCGAAGAUACCAGCUGGCUGCAACUGUUUAUUAAAAACACAGCACUGUGCAAACACGAAAGUGGACGUAUACGGUGUGACGCCUGCCCGGUGCCGGAAGGUUAAUUGAUGGGGUCAGCGCAAGCGAAGCUCUUGAUCGAAGCCCCGGUAAACGGCGGCCGUAACUAUAACGGUCCUAAGGUAGCGAAAUUCCUUGUCGGGUAAGUUCCGACCUGCACGAAUGGCGUAAUGAUGGCCAGGCUGUCUCCACCCGAGACUCAGUGAAAUUGAACUCGCUGUGAAGAUGCAGUGUACCCGCGGCAAGACGGAAAGACCCCGUGAACCUUUACUAUAGCUUGACACUGAACAUUGAGCCUUGAUGUGUAGGAUAGGUGGGAGGCUUUGAAGUGUGGACGCCAGUCUGCAUGGAGCCGACCUUGAAAUACCACCCUUUAAUGUUUGAUGUUCUAACGUGGACCCGUAAUCCGGGUUGCGGACAGUGUCUGGUGGGUAGUUUGACUGGGGCGGUCUCCUCCUAAAGAGUAACGGAGGAGCACGAAGGUUGGCUAAUCCUGGUCGGACAUCAGGAGGUUAGUGCAAUGGCAUAAGCCAGCUUGACUGCGAGCGUGACGGCGCGAGCAGGUGCGAAAGCAGGUCAUAGUGAUCCGGUGGUUCUGAAUGGAAGGGCCAUCGCUCAACGGAUAAAAGGUACUCCGGGGAUAACAGGCUGAUACCGCCCAAGAGUUCAUAUCGACGGCGGUGUUUGGCACCUCGAUGUCGGCUCAUCACAUCCUGGGGCUGAAGUAGGUCCCAAGGGUAUGGCUGUUCGCCAUUUAAAGUGGUACGCGAGCUGGGUUUAGAACGUCGUGAGACAGUUCGGUCCCUAUCUGCCGUGGGCGCUGGAGAACUGAGGGGGGCUGCUCCUAGUACGAGAGGACCGGAGUGGACGCAUCACUGGUGUUCGGGUUGUCAUGCCAAUGGCACUGCCCGGUAGCUAAAUGCGGAAGAGAUAAGUGCUGAAAGCAUCUAAGCACGAAACUUGCCCCGAGAUGAGUUCUCCCUGACUCCUUGAGAGUCCUGAAGGAACGUUGAAGACGACGACGUUGAUAGGCCGGGUGUGUAAGCGCAGCGAUGCGUUGAGCUAACCGGUACUAAUGAACCGUGAGGCUUAACCUUACAACGCCGAAGGUGUUU
rnacentral:rRNA from 1 species